GUUCCAGCUGCAUCACACUGUGACAAAGAUUCCUGCUAACUAAUGUGCUCCACUGCUUUCCCUUUCCAGGCUAGGAGCUGCUGGCAAGAGGAACAAGUUUUCUGCAUGGGUAGCGAGUGUGGCAGAGCACUACGGGGUUGA
rnacentral:lncRNA from 1 species